UCCCGGUUUGCUGAUGUUAUUGCCUUGUGUGUCCAGGUAAUGCAUGCUACAUUUUGAAGGGAGGCAUUUGUUUUUUAAGUUGGUUCCAGCUUCCAAACACCUAUUGUAGAAAUUAUGCGAAGUGGUUGGCAACCAUGAAAAUUUAGAAUUUCCAUGAAUCAAUUUAGAAGCAGAAUAAUGGCAUUUUUACUCAUUCUAAACUUAAGUAUUACUCUUUUCAUGCUUAUUUUCUGUGUUGUCGCAGCCGGAGCCAGAGUUUCGACCGCCUAUGUCAGAAGUGGUUCAGGCAUUAGUUCGUCUUGUUCAGCGUGCUAACAUGAGCAAGAGAACAAUUGGAAAUGAUCAGGGAACGCCUCGGCAAGCUGACAACCCUGAUGCACAUGACUACAUGUCUUAAAUGGAAGCAAUACCCAUGGUCGCUUGCUCUGAUGUUAAAUACAGGCUACAGUACAUCAAGCGGUCCUCUCAUUUUCUUAAAGUUUGUUGAACAUAGAUUUUUAGUUUAAUCUUCUUGGUUCAAACACAUGGUAGAGUUAGGAACUCGAUACAGCUUGUUAAAGAUUUCUAUGGUUGAGCUAAUUUUCUUCUUGUUGCAUUGCAUGCUGACUUGAGAUUAAGAUUGGGUGCUAAAAUUAGUGGAAGCUUGAUUCCCCUCCCUCUUCCCCCAACUGCAUGGAACAUCAUCUUUGUAAGUAUAAAAGUGGAAUAAAAGCUCGGAAAGUUGGAUUCUACCCCAAAACUCGUAAGGGUCUCUGAAAAUUUUCCUUCAUUUGUACAUAACCAUUUUUGUCCCAAUUUGUUCGACAUGAAGAAACAAUGCUCUUAAUUGUAGACCAUGUACUUUGGUGUUGCACUGAACUUCUGAUACCCCUUUAUGACCUUGUUCACUGCAUCCAGGAAGUCUUUCUCAGUCACUGUCUUCCUGCGUGCCCUAAUAGCGUACAUCCCAGCCUCAGUGCAGACACUCCUAAUGUCAGCUCCUGCAUAGCAAUCGAAGGUCAACAAAUUUUAACAAAGUCAAUUGAAGCACUAUAUGAACUGUUGAAUAGUCAGUAGAGACCAAACUAUCUGCACGACUGCCCAUAAUAUAUCUUUCACAAUUACAAAUGAGGAAAAGAAAUUCAUAAAAAGUUCUCAAUUUAAAAAGGUCUCGCAUGUUUCCUGUUUAUGAUAAAAUUAACUUUAAUUUUCUCCUAACUGCAUUCACAGACUACGUCAUCCUGAUCCUUGCUAGGUGCAAUAAUUUUUCAGCCUAGAAAUCAAUGGCCCAGGUAUCACUCGGUAAAGAAAGAGCCGUUUCACUUUGUGCACGGUAACUACAAAAGGAAUCUUUUGAGGAACACUGCAUUCAAAAUCACUGUCAAACAGAAAUAUAUCUGGAAAGUAUACAUACCGGUUGAAUUUGGGCAAAGGCGUGCAAGAAGCUCAAAACGGAUAUCUCUUUCACAGUUCAUAGUUCGUGUAUGGAUCUUAAAAAUCUGUGUCCUGCUCUCCAAAUCAGGUAGCCCAAACUCAACCUUACGAUCCAGUCUCCCUGGACGUAACAAUGCUGGGUCCAGUGUAUCAGGCCUGUUUGUUGCCAUUAAGACUUUAAUGUUUCCUCGAGCAUCAAAACCAUCAAGCUGAUUGACAAUUUCAAGCAUGGUACGUUGAACCUCAUUAUCUCCACCCACACCAUCAUCAAAUCGUGCACCACCUAUCGCAUCAACUUCAUCGAAAAAGACUAUACAAGCCUUCUUUGACCGUGCCAUCUGGAAAAGCUCCCGAACCAUGCGGGCACCCUCACCAACAUAUUUUUGAACUAGUUCACUUCCAAUAACACGGAUGAAACAUGCAUCAGUUCUGUUGGCGACAGCUCUAGCCAAAAGCGUUUUGCCAGUUCCAGGAGGACCAUAACACAAAACACCUUUAGGAGGAUCAAUCCCAAGCUUCACAAAUUUCUCUGGAUGAAGCAUGGGAAGCUCAACAACUUCUCGCAUCUUUUCUAUCUGCUCCUUACAUCCACCAACAUCAUUAUAUGUUACAUCAGGUUUUUCUUCUACGGUCAUCAUUGUAACACUUGGAUCAAUUUUUGGAGGCAAGGGAAUUUGAAUCUGAUAUUUGUUGCGAUCAACCCCCACUCGCAUUCCUUCUUCAAUAUCUGUAGGGGAGACUUUGUCACCAAGCCCAACCACAAACUUGGCAAUUUGUUUGACAUUUAUAACAUACUUGGCAUCCUCAGUAUUUGGGUUAAUUAUCUUAGUGCACCUUGCAACUUGAAGUGGCUGCUCCUCCUGCAUCAUUUGUUUAUCAGAAACAAGAUCCCACUGGCUUGGUGCAGCUAACCCAGUGUCAGAUUCCUUGAUACCACAAAGGUCAUUGAUCUUCUUAGCCAAUUCUUUGAUUUCCUUCUCCUCUUUCUUAAUGCUGUUUGAGUACGGACCUAAUCCAUAGGUCUUGAGGAGGGCAAUGUCAUCUUCGUCGAGAGGACGAGGAUUCUUCUCGUCCUUGAUCAGGUCGUCGUCUUCUGGUGCAGCCGCCGGCGCCAUUCGAUUUAAAUCUUAACAGCUUUCAAGAUUCGAGCUUCUAACGAAUAGAUAGAGGAAUCGGUACUGUGUUUUGAGUAGACGAUGCUCCAUCUCUUCUCUUUCAUAUAUAGAAUCUCUCCAGCCUUUCCC
rnacentral:misc_RNA from 1 species